rnacentral:pre_miRNA from 1 species
GUGGCUUGUUUUCUGUUGCCUGCGGUUGGUUCCAGUGACUCAGGCAGCGAAAGCAAGUCUGGGAGGCUG